rnacentral:tRNA from 2 species
GGAGGUGUGGCAGAGCGGCCUAAUGCACCAGUCUUGAAAACUGGAGUCGGUGAAAGCCGACCGUGGGUUCAAAUCCCUCCGCCUCCG